AUUGAACGCUGGCGGCAUGCCUUACACAUGCAAGUCGAACGGUAACAGGUCUUCGGAUGCUGACGAGUGGCGAACGGGUGAGUAAUAUAUCGGAACGUGCCCAGUCGUGGGGGAUAACGCAGCGAAAGCUGUGCUAAUACCGCAUACGAUCUAUGGAUGAAGGCGGGGGAUCGCAAGACCUCGCGCGGACGGAGCGGCCGAUGGCAGAUUAGGUAGUUGGUGGGAUAAAAGCUUACCAAGCCGACGAUCUGUAGCUGGUCUGAGAGGACGACCAGCCACACUGGGACUGAGACACGGCCCAGACUCCUACGGGAGGCAGCAGUGGGGAAUUUUGGACAAUGGGGGAAACCCUGAUCCAGCCAUGCCGCGUGCAGGAUGAAGGCCUUCGGUUGUAACUGCUUUGUUACGGAACGAAAGGUACCUUCUAAUAAAGAAGGGCGUCAUGACGGUACCGUAAGAAGAAGCCCCGGCGUAACUUCGUGCCAGCAGCCGCGGUAAG
rnacentral:rRNA from 1 species